rnacentral:rRNA from 1 species
GAGCUUGACGGUACUGUAAGAAUAAGGAUCGGCUAACUCCGUGCCAGCAGCCGCGGUAAUACGGAGGAUGCAAGCGUUAUCCGGAAUCAUUGGGUUUAAAGGGUCCGUAGGCGGUCUCAUAAGUCAGAUGUGAAAUCCCAUAGCUCAACUAUGGAACUGCCAUUGAUACUGUUUGACUUGAAUUAUUAGGAAGUAAAUAGAAUAUGUAGUGUAGCGGUGAAAUGCUUAGAUAUUACAUGGAAUACCAAUUGCGAAGGCAGGUUACUACUAAUAUAUUGACGCUCAUGGACGAAAGCGUGGGAAGCGAACAGGAUUAGCUACCCUGGUAGUCCACACCAUAAACGAUGGAUACUAAACAGAGGAACAAUCUCAGUGUCUAAGCGAAAGUGAUAA